rnacentral:lncRNA from 1 species
GAAAGAGUCAGCAUGAGGUGGAGUGAUGAACUUGCUUUUACAUCUGAAGAGCUGCCACUUCUUAGCUGUGUGACCUUGGAUGAAUCAUAAAACCUCCUUUCUAAAGUCAGGGCCAUACUUAUUUUAUAAACCUGUGAAGUGUAGAGCACCCAAGACAUCUGGGAUUCGCUCACUCACAUCUCCAGCUUGCAUGGUCCUCUGA